rnacentral:lncRNA from 1 species
CUCCCUCUUCUUCUUCUUCCUUCGUUUCAGCAGAACAGGGGAUCUUGGAGUCCCCUUCAUCUUCCCCGACUCCAAAGGAGUCUUGCCCAGAGAAGGUGGCCGGAGGUGCGGUCCACGGUGACGCAUCCGAAGGUCCCUCAAUCAGCGGCCGACGGCAACUACAGUCGCCGGAAAAAUUCAAAGAAAAACCGACGAACAGAGGAUUUCAGAUCCGAUUUAUCCCAAAAAAUUCAACAAGUAAAUCAUGGCUGCAAGGGUUGAGAAAGAAGGAGAGAAGGGUCGAACAACUAUUUCCAACCUUAUCUUCUGUGGUCAAGAUUCUGAAAUCAAUGGAGGAAGAUAGACGGAGAGAGAAGAAGG